ACAAAUCAAGGCGAUGGAGUUCGCCUAACGCUACGUUGUAGCUGAUAACUCCUAUUGAAGC
rfam:Planctomycetes bacterium GWB2_41_19 gwb2_scaffold_6965, whole genome shotgun sequence.